rnacentral:tRNA from 1 species
GGGGUUGUAGCUCAGUGGUAGAGCGCUUGCCUAGCACGUGUGAGGCACUGGGUUCGAGCCUCAGCACCA